UUUGGUGGUCAUAGCACGAGCAAAACACCCGGCUCCAUUCCGAACCCGGCCGUUAAGUGCCGUCGCGCCAAUGGUACUGCGUCUUAAGACGUGGGAGAGUAGGUCGCCGCCAAAC
rfam:Antarctobacter heliothermus strain SMS3 chromosome, complete genome.